ACGAAUGCAGACGCAGACUAUUCUUCCCCAACGCAGCCGCCAUUUUCGGUAUCUGAUGAGGGAGAGAGGGAGGAAGUUGGAGAACAGGCGACCAACGCUAACGGAGUUCCCUAUGCAGCCAAUCAGAAGAUCCACGCUGAUUGAGGAGGUAGGAGAGAGUCUGCUGCCGGAAGGUUCGCCGGUGGAUGGUGGUGGAGGUGCUGUUUCUGGUCAACACGAGUGUGAGCGGCGAUGGGCGGAUCUGCAUGGCAUCUCUGCACCGGUGGCGAUGAGCGAAGAUGGGCGAAUCUGCAGUAUGGCAGCAGUGUGAAGGGACAAGUCGCUUCCAUAUUCUGAGCUCCAUACGGGGAAGAUGAAUCCCCAGACUCCGUGUUGGAGUAAGAGGUUGAGAAUUGGUGCCGCUGCUCCUAGCAGGACACCCCAAACCGCAUUGUUUGUGUAAAACCCGGCUGAAAAUGUUACUCCGGUGUUGGGUACUACUUUAACUUGCUGGGUGAAGCAUAUGAGGUGAGCCUUGGAUCAAGUUCCUUGAUUUCUGUCUGAUCUGUGGCUUGGAAAGGUCGCUUUCCGUCAAAGGGUGGUAGGCGUGGAUUGAAUACAGGGCGAGUUUGUUCUUCUCUGACGCAGACAUCAUUUUGAAACUUCAGAAGCACGGGAGGGAGGGAGUGGAAGAACAGGCGACCAACGGCGAUGGCUUUCCUGAUGUUCCGGCGGUUAAGCUUUUGUGAUUUGUCUCUCCUAGAUCCACUUUGAUUGAGGAGUUGAGUUAUUAAGAAAGCCCAAAGAAUAUCGUUGUGAAGAUUCCGGCGUAGAUGAUAAUUCAAACAAGUUGUGAAGCUGGUGCUGGAGAAAUGUCAUUGUGAAGCUCAUCCUUUUGUUGUGUUUGUCAAUGGUUGCUGGGACACCUUGUGUGAGGUCAAACUAAUCUUCGACUUGAAACUUGGGCACCUUGCACUCUGUUUCUCAACUUACCACUGUUGAGCAAUGCUUAAUGUACUCAUCUCUUUAAAUAUAGAGCAGUGCUACCUUUUCUGAGCACGCA